rnacentral:lncRNA from 1 species
GUAAGUAUGUGGUUGUAUAACUAGAUAUUGUAUAUAUAUAUAUAUAUAUAUAUAUAUAUAUAUAUAUAUAUAGAUAUAUAUAGAUGUAUAGAUAUGUAUGUAUAUAUGUAUAUAGAUGGCUAGGUUUCACAGUGGAUAGUGCAUUGGGCCUAGAAUCAGGAAGACUCAUCUUCAUGAAUUUAAAUCUACUCUCAGGCACUUAUUAGUUGUGUCACUUCACUCUGUUUGCCUCAGUUUCCUCAUCUGUAAAGUGAGCUGAAGGACAUGGCAAAUCACUCCAGUGUCUGUCAAGAAAACCCCAAAUGGGGUCAUGAAGAGUUGGACAUGACUGGACAAAAACAAUAUAUAUGUAUAUUUUCACCUGUAUGACUGUAUAUAGUAUAUACAUAGUAUAUGGCUAUACAUGCAUAUAUAUAAAUAUCUAGUAUGCACAUAGGUGUUUGCAUACUAUCUCCCUGUUAGAUUAUCCUCAUUUUGCCUUUCUUUGUCCCUCCAGUGCUAAGCAGAGUGCUAGGCAACCAAUAAACAUUUCACAAAUGCUCCUAGACUACAAAAACACUCACCAAGGCCGGGUGAGGCAGGCCGGAAGUACAAAGUACUUCUAGUUCUGGAGUGGGCCCCAGAGAAUAUGCCUAGCAGCAAGGUUGAGGAGGAAGGGAGGUACAGAAAAACAGAUUUGGGCUCAGGGAGAGAAAGAACUUCCUAACCGAGCUCUCCUGAAUGAUGAAAGAGGCCGCCAUGCAAGGCAGUGUGCUUCCUCACUUUCCUGUAAUCUUCUCCCCAAGGCUCCUAGCUCUGCUCUACUAGAACCCAGCUUCCAGAUACUGAAGAUGGCAUUUUUGACCCUCCUGAGUCUUCUCCUUUCCAGGCUGAAUAUUCCUAGCUCUUUCAACAAAUUGUCAUAUGGUCUGGACAUGGACCUGUGGCCCUCUCCCAUCCUGGGGGCCCCUUCCUGGACAUUUUCCACCUUAUCAACACCCCUUCUACAAAGUGGUGCCUGGUGAAC